UACGUAGGGUGCAAGCGUUAAUCGGAAUUACUGGGCGUAAAGCGUGCGCAGGCGGCUUUGCAAGACAGAUGUGAAAUCCCCGGGCUUAACCUGGGAACUGCAUUUGUGACUGCAUGGCUGGAGUGCGGCAGAGGGGGAUGGAAUUCCGCGUGUAGCAGUGAAAUUCGUAGAUAUUGGGAAGAACACCGGUGGCGAAGGCGGCUCACUGGCUCGUAUCUGACGCUCAGGCGCGACAGCGUGGGGAUCAAACAGG
rnacentral:rRNA from 1 species